GUCCACACUGUGCACCACUGCCUUCCCUCCGUCUGCAGGGAGCUCUGGGCAGGGGGAUGUGGGGUGAGAUGGAUUGGUUGUUGCGCAUACUUCACAUUGUUGGCUUUGCCCAGACUGGAAAGGCUUUAGUAGCUGGAAUUUCUUAGUGCUGGGACAGAUCAUGUUGCCUGCCGUGUGUGCGUACAAGUCUAAACCACUCGUCCUCUACCCCCACAAAGAGAAGCCCUCCGUGCGUUGCUGUUGUACCCACUUGUUGGUGAAUUAAUACUUUGUGGAGAGGCACCAACACCAGACAGUUUGAUAGUUCUCUUAUUCAGCAGCAGAGCCAUAGAGCAGGGAUCACCCAAAGUGAUCAGCAACCAGAGCCACAAAGCAGCCGCAGCGGAGCCCGGCCAUGGCUGGAGACAGGUCAGAUGGAACCUGGACAUAAAUCGCUCUGAUUUCACAAUCAGUGUCUGCAGCCUCUCCUGAGAGGAAAAAAUGUUCUUGUUUUCUGCCUCCAUCCAUCACUUCAGGGAUAUGUUAAUGGACCUCUGAGAUGCUUCUUGGCUCGUUUAAGUCAUUCUGCCUUCUGUCUUGAGUAUAACUAGUCCCUCGGGACACUUGCCACUGAUGCUGCUUAGAGAAAAAAUCUAUUUGGAAACAAUCCUUCCAGCAGACCAUAUGUUGAGAGUUUAGGGUUUCCUUGUUUGAUGACUUGGGGCACCUGUGUGAAAACAUUGUUGCUUUUGCAUUUUAUCCCUCGCUGCUGUUUAUGCUUGUUAUGUCACAAGUUGAUUGCUGAAGAGAUAAUCGUGCUGUCCAAAGUGGAGGAUGCAGUACCUGGGAAGUCUGGUGAUUGGCACUCCAUCAGCAUCAUGAGCCUUAGCGUGGGAAAGGAGGGUGAUGCUUUUCCUCUUCUUAUGUACAUUGAAGCUCUCUGAGGCAAGAAGAAAGGUAACAUUGAGACCAGAAAGCAAAUGUGGAGAGAGGACCAGGGGCCCACCACACAGCAGCACACACCACCCUGGGCUGGCAUUUGUUGCUGCUGAGGAGCUGGCUGUGUGGUGUUCGGGGAGCCCUGCCCUGCUCUGCUCUGCUUUAACAAAGAGAGAGGAAUGAGGUGGAUGGGAUGAGGAGCAAUGUGCCUCUUGUGGACUUCUUUCUCUUUCAGACUUAGGUGGUCUCCACACACUGUGCCAAAGGGGGAAAAAAAAAGAGGAUAUCUAAGGCAUUUUGCUGGCAGAUGCUUAAAUGCCUUUAGGAUUAGGUGGGGGGUUGAGGAUUUACAUUUUGGAUGCAGGCAUUUGAAUCGGGGUUUAGUUAUCUAAGCCUCCCUCUAGCAAGGUGUCAGCACAUUUUUCAGAUUCUCUUCUGCUAAAUGAUGUAGAUAAAAUCAGAAAAUGCUUCUGGAAAAAGCCUCCCUUCGACUCUGCCUCAACUCUUUUAUUUGUCAAUGAGUUGCUGCCUCUCAGAUAAGAGCAACUAUUUUUUUUGCAGGGAGUAGCUGAAGCAAAGGAAUAUUUCAGAGUUGAAAGAAGCGCUGCCCAGCGACAUCCGCUCUCCUUCCCUACCGAACAGAACCUGUUGCACUGAGCCUGGUCACGCUGGAGAUGGAGGAAAGGCUAAAGUUCAAGUUCACAGACCUCGAAGAGAGGAGCAAGUAAGAGGAACUGUGAG
ensembl:lncRNA